UGGUAAAAGCUUAGUAGUUCUUAGUUGUGCUGUCAAACAUCAGUGAUUACCGCACAUGGACGUGCGGUAAAGCAAUCAGCGACACGAUGUCGCAUUGAGUGCGUUCACGUCAGUUUUCAUUAACUUACAUCAGCACAUCUUAGAACUACUUAGCU
rnacentral:ncRNA from 1 species